UCUCCCCACCAACCAGAUAUUCUUCUUCUGCUUCAAUUUUCUGAAGCACAUCACUUCGGACGAAUUCUCAUCAGGCAGGAAAACACGGAGGAAAAGUUCCCAGCCUCUGGAAUCUGCGGUAUCUCUGGAAGAUUUCUGUUUGCUGAGAUGAAGACCUGUGCCUCCUCUCCAGUCUUUGUUUUGGAACCAAGCUCAGUUUUCCGCCGAGGAUCGUCUCCUCCAGCCAGCUGUGACUGAGGCAAAGUCAUCCAGUUCCUCUUCCUCCAACCACUUCCUGAGACCCGAGCGCAGCCCCCUUGAGGUGCCACAGCGCAGAUUCAGUGCAUUAUUUUCUUCGGUCUUCUUCAGGAGUUAUGUGCCGUAUCAGCGCAUGCACAUUUGGAGCAAUCUUCGGGUUUUUGACAACUGUGCAUGCGCCGAAAUCACCGAAAGAAGACCUGAAGAUUACAAAGAGCCGGAAGAUGGUGCCCGUGAGCUCCGCUGCGCUGAAUCUGCAA